UAUUCCAUCUUUUCUUUCCCAGUUUAAUUUGCUCACAUUUACAUCAACACCAAGCACCAAGAAAAAAAAACAAUUUCUGCUCUAGAAAAAGUGAAAGAGGAUGCAAAGCUUUACCAAAUCUGCAGCCCAACUUUUGCAGCAACUACUGCUGGUCAGACCUUCUUUGUUUACUUUGCAGGUACUAUACUUGUUAUUGUUUUGUCACUUUGAUGAACUGCAACUCUUCAUGUGCUUUUAGUCUUUCAUGUACUUGUGAAACUCUUCAUUUAAACCUUAAUUUCAGCCAGACUGCAUCCAGCACCCUGCACAAUCUUCAGAAAUAGCAAAGAAAGUAAAAACGCAUACAAUCAAGUGUAUACCUUUCCGAUCUAUGUAUAUGCUUCUCCUCCACUGAUAGUUCCAUUGGCUUCCACGUGAUCCGGCAAUAAAAUUUAACAAAUCCUUCACUCUUUACAAAUCUACCACUUUCUCAAGCUUGACAAUAUGCAUAAAACAAUAGAACGUAUAGUAUUUAUUCAUAGAACUUACCUUCUGGUCAAGAAAAACGACCUCUGAUUUGUGAUGAAGCUUUUUUGUCAGCAGACAUUGCGUUCCUUUGUUGAUUGGAGAAAAUUUGGCUGCCAAGAAUGAACAUUGUUCUUCAAUAUUGGAAGAGCUUUAAUCUUGACAGAGUUUGUAUUGAAUAUUGAGACUCCUUAGGGGUUGUUUGGUUCA